AAUGAACGCUGGCGGCGUGCCUAACACAUGCAAGUCGGAUGUGCCCGCAAGGGUGCAUGGCAGACGGGUGAGUAACGCGUGGGGAAUCUACCUUUUAGUGGGGAAUAACGCUCCGAAAGGAGUGGUAAUACCGCAUGUGACCAUUGGCUGGGAUGCUGAUGGUGAAACCCUGGGACCUUCGGGCCAGGGGCUAGAAGAGGAUCCUGCGUCUGAUUAGCUAGUUGGCGGGGUAACGGCCCACCAAGGCGACGAUCAGUAGCCGGCCUGAGAGGGUGAUCGGCCACACUGGAACUGAGACACGGUCCAGACUCCUACGGGAGGCAGCAGUGGGGUAUUUUGCGCAAUGGACGAAAGUCUGACGCAGCAACGCCGCGUGGGGGAUGAAGGUCUUCGGAUUGUAAACCCCUUUCGGGAGGAAGAUGGAGUGGGUAACCACUUGGACGGUACCUCCAGAAGCAGCCACGGCUAACUCCGUGCCAGCAGCCGCGGUAAGGUCGUC
rnacentral:rRNA from 1 species